rnacentral:lncRNA from 1 species
AUACAAAAAAUUGGCCGGGCGUGGUGGUGGGCACCUGUAGUCCCAGCUACUCGGGGGGCUGAGGCAGGAGAAUGGUGUGAACCCGGGAGGCAGAGCUUGCAGUGAGCCGAGAUCGCGCCACUGCACUCCAGCCUGGAUGACAGAGCAAGACUCCAUCUCAAAAAAAAAAAAAAUGUGUGGUACAGUUAUUUUGUUUAUGUUAGUGAUUCAAUCAUAGAAACUAUUCAGUUUCUGGUAUCCCACUCUUACCUGGAGAAAAGAGGAAGCCGCUUUCAUCAGACACUGUGUUCACCCAGCGUAAGGAAAAAGUUGGUAAAAUCUAAAGGAAUCCUCAGACAUAUUAAUAAAAGUGUGCCCAGUCCCUCUCCACAACCCAUGUAGCCACUGUGGUCAGUACCUGCAGGGCAUCUCUCAAAUACCCCUAUGUCUAGUUCUGGUGAUAUCAGUCACUAAAAAUGGGAUCAGCUUGUGGCAGAUACCACCUUAAAUGCUCAUGUCUGUCUCAGUCACUAGGAGGAAAACCAGAGCCUGGAAACCAGAUCCAUUUUGAUGAAUGUCCAAGAUUUUGAGAGUGAAAAACUCCAAAAUGACAGCUCACAGUUGGCAGCUAGGCCAGAAGGUUCCCAAGGAACAUCAGAGGUAUUCCCGGAAUAUAAAGAGGCAAGGCCACAGAAUGACUCCACAUAGCAGAGGUGUUGCUACGAGAGGUGACACUGUCCCUGUCAGAAACAAGUCAGUGCCAAGGAGACUCAAUAACAAAAACAACUAAACAAUCCUUUCCUGCCUAACAUGAGUGACAACUGCUUCUAUAUCAGUGACUUCAAUCUCUCUGCCUCCUAGAUAAAAAUGAUUAAGGUAACUAGUCAUUAAUUGCACCCACUUCCAGACAAUAUCCAAUCCAGACUGACCCUCUCUUCCUCAAAUCCUCUUUAGAAUUACCAAGCAAAACCCCAAGUCCUAUAAGCCCAUCUCAACUCCCUCCUUAUGCAACACCCCAUGGUUCCUCUGCAGUGCCUGCUAAAUCUAACUUCGGGUUAUUACAGGUGCACGAGUGAUGGUCUUUGACUCAUGACCUUUAACUUGCUGUGGGUGUCUGUUGCUUUGGAGCAGCCCAGCGCUGAUUUCUACUUCUGAAAAGUGCCCUGACUUGCUUUGAAUUGGAUGCCAGUCUAGGAAGACUCAUAUCUGGGCCUCUUGUAGGCCAAGGUCAGGCAUGUACCUUAGCUUGAAAAUGAGAUACGCCUCCCUAGGAUUUGAAACCUGAGUGAGAGGCGCAGCACUGGGGGUGGUGUCCAGGCCAGACCGGCCAUGUUGCGAGACCACUGCCGUGCUUCCUGCUUCCUGGUCCUCUAGUCCUGCCCGUUCCUAGCCAGGGUCCUCAGCUUUCCCAUCAAUGCAGUAACUCCUUUCACUUAAUUGAGCCGGGGUCAAUUUUGCUGUUGCUUUCCAGCAAAGAGGAUGGAGAUGCACAACUGUCAUCUGAACAGUGGCACUCACUCACCACCUGAACAGAGGCGCUCAUUCUGCAUCAGGGCGGGUGAAAACGCCUUACGUUGAUCCACUCCUGGGGCUGGGGCCGGGACACUCAGGCCCUGGGAAUAUUGUUUCCACAGUUUUAUUAACCUGGAAAAUGUGUUCCUUUGUUCUGAUUGUGUGGUCACCAACAACGGCUGAUUUUUAAUAUGGGCUCUCAUACACCCUGUUACCGAUUAUCAGACACCAGAUCCUGGUCACAAGAAACAACAGCUCCCAUUUGUAAAUGAAUGCCUUGACAUUGAGCUUUACCCACAAUGGAGAGUUGGUUAACAGGAGGUGGUCUCUCUGUGCCUGAACAAUAUGUGUGUUCUGACAAAAUCAAAUCACCAGCCCUGCAAUCCCACAGACCUCACAGGCUCAGUUUGACCCACCAGGGAAUGCUGCCUCCAUAAGCUACUGGCCGCCUUCCAUGGCAUUUCUAUCUGUGACAACUGCCACAAGCUACCUCCGCUGGAUGUCAAACAGGCACUAAGCUUUGUGCACUGGGUCUUUGCUCAAAUGUCCUUUUUAGUAGGGAGAUGUGAUCCAAAGGGGUUUCAGGCUAAUACAUAGAGAUCCGGAAAGAUGCUAUGGUUCAUCUCUUCCUUCUGUCAUGUUGACAAGCUCUGGUGCCCACCUAUGUCCAGACUGGGCCCUGCUUUCAUGACUGAGGGCAGAAAACAGAGGCUCUGUCUGUGCCUGGGAAUCUUUGAAUUGGGUCCCUGAGUCAAAGCAUCUCCCAUCACCUUUAGAACUGCUCAGAAUGUUCAUGGAGAUAUUUUGCUUGUACUCAAGAGCAGUUGUGUUGGAAAUUUAGUGUGGUAGAGUAAUUAAAGCACAGACUGCUGGAGCAUGACUCCUGACACCAGUCACUAGCUUGACCUUGCGCAAGUUACUCACUCUCUCUACGCCUCACUUUCCCCAUCUGAAAAUGGGAAUAAUUGUAGGACAUAUCUCAUAGGGCCACUGUGACAUUUAAAUGCAUUAAUAGAUGUAAAUUUCAUAGGACAGGUACUUUACAUUCCUACCACUUACGAAGAAUUAUCUAACUCUUAGCUGUUAUUCUACAACAACUUUAGAAAGGGUGUUUUAUUGUCUGAGGGUAAUAUUUGCAAGCCAUAGAAUUUCUCAGGGUUUGCCAGCUUCUUUGAACAUAAAGGGAAAUUGGGGCAUUAGCAAACUGACACAGCAAUGGGUCUUGGUCUAAUGGGCAUACAGGUGAAAAGAUUCUAUUUGAAAAGUUUCUGGGUUUCCAUACUGUAAACUCUGUUUUGUAAGUUAACUCCAUGUCAUUUUGAAAUUUUGCAAACCCCUCUCUCCACACAUGUGCACUAACACGUGAACUCCACAAGGGCUGUCAUGUGUGUUUGAUCAAUGCUCCAUCUCCGCUGUCUGGAGUGGUGCUUUGGGACACAGUAGAUGCUCAAUAAACAGCUGUAAAUCAAAAACUUAAAUACUUAACCUUUUGGUCUAAGUGAACAAGAGGUUUUGACGUGUUCUUUGGUGGAUAUUAUCUGAGUUUUCACAAGACCUCAGUAUACUUGGCAAAGCAUUUCACAAUUGAUGGGCAAGCCAUCCAGCAUUUAAAAGUGAAAUUCAUGGAGCAUUCUACUGGAUGGUGCUGCUCUAACGAACCCAUGCUUCUGCUGGAAAUUUGCAGCAUUGUGAUUCUUAAAUCAUGGCAUUCUCAUAAGCCAAAGAGAUUGAGUGCAUUUUUGGAAAAUGAGCUCCUUAAGGAGAGGGCCUGAGUUGAUGCAACUGGCUCUGCAGGACACUCCUCCCCCCGAGUGCCCUCACUGGGACAGAGGCCCUUCAUGGUUUCUGAUGAUGGUUUUGGCUCCCCAAACUAGGCUCUCAGGACCCCUGGUCCCCAAAACAAGUAUUAGGAAUAACCAGGACAUUAUCGCAGAGAACUGGCAUUAAGGCACAGAGGCCCAUGGAGUCCCCAGGCACAGAUGAUGCCAUAUUCUGUACCUACCGGGUCAAGCAUGAAGAGGUCCACGCCUUGCCCUGUG